rnacentral:rRNA from 1 species
GACGUAGGGCGCAAGCGUUGUCCGGAUUUAUUGGGCGUAAAGAGCUCGUAGGCGGCUUGCCACGUCUGCCGUGAAAACCAGCAGCUUAACUGUUGGCUUGCGGUUGAUACGGGUUGGCUGGAGUUCGGUAGGGGAGACUGGAAUUCCUGGUGUAGCGGUGAAAUUCGUAGAUAUCGGGAGGAACACCAGUGGCGAAGGCGGCGAUCUGGGAAGAUACUGACGCUGAGGUGCGAAAGCGUGGGGAGCAAACAGG